AAAAAAAAAGUCACAGUAACAACAAAUUUAAACUACCAAGCUACCAGAUACGAUAAAAUAUUUUGGUCCUCAAAAUCUGCUUUCUUUGAUCACCCAGGCAGAAUGAGUUGGAAGAAAUUGUUUUCAGAUACUGCCAGCACACUGUCAACACUAAGGACUAAGAUCUUGUGAAGGCAGUGGCCCUUGGUUUCUACACGGAUAACUGCUCCGUGUAGAAUGGAGCAUUUGUUGGAUGCAGAAGCUGAAUGACCUGCACAGCUCAGUGUGUGGACUUUCAGGAUCUUCUCUGCAAUAUGGAAACAAGAAAACUCACAAUAAAGACAUUGUGUGAAGGAAUCUGUGAAGCAAAUUGCUUUUAUAGUGUAUAACACUGAGGUGCAAGUCUUCUUUUAAAUUACAAGCUGUUUCUCUGUGUAUUGGCUGCUUCAUAAAUAUACUUAAUGCUACAUUAUUCCCAAGGGGUACCUGAUUGACCACUGUAAGUGAUAAAUUUUUUCAUAAAAUCAUCACUGAUCAUUGAAACUUGCUUUUGUUUUCAUCAUUGAAUGGGAAAGAUCUGCCUGGGCAUUCCCUCUACCAGUUCCAGCUACAUGAAAUCCUUUUUAAUAUAAUCUUAGUUAACAAUUGAAGUACCCUGAAAUAGCUGGAAAGUCUAUUUAUAGUUUUGGAUACCAAAAUGCACUAACAAAUCUUCAAAUGUUCUUCAGCUUAUUUCGAACUGCUUGAGAUAAAACAGCCCCAGGAUAUUAGGCUAUUUACUUACAAUUCAAAUAGACAUUUAAGCACUGACAUUUUAGACCUUUGGACCCUGUGUGCCAAUGAAGGAAUUUACGUAACACAUCGUAAGCUAUAGCUUUGUGUCAUAUGCAGAGGCACCAAGUCUGAAGUGGAAAUUCACCCUUCAUUAUGCUCAGUGCUGGAUUAACAGCAGGACCUAGUAAGUCAUGGACUGAUGCUCAUGCAUGCUUGAGUUAAGAGCGAGAUAGAGCAUUCUGGCCCAGCACUGACUAUUGUUACCAGCUUCCCGUAACAAUAGUUACUCGAAAUCAGUAGGUACUCUAAAUCAGGGCAAUAUCACCUCAUUAUUGCUUUUAAUGAAUAUUAAUUCUCACUGAGUCAGCUACGUGAGCUGGGCUUAUCCGACAUGCUGCAGAACUGUCAUGUGUUCUGAACAGCAAAUGGAACAGAUCUUUCUUAAGGAAAAAUUAAUACUCUUAUACCGCUAUUCAUUUGGAUGUUAUGUACAAGAAGAAAACAUCUGUCAAAGAAUAAAAGUUAUUAACAACUUAUUGCAUUUCUCUACAUGUCAACCACCAUCUUACUGUUGAGAAGAUAUAUACAGCUUAUGGAUAAAUCUUAUGGAUCAGCUGUUUGACAGGUGUGACAAUGGAAGUUUAUAAGUUCCUCAGUCUUACCAGAGCUCAAUAAUUUACAUAAAUAAAAGAGUAUUUUUGAAGUUCACCCUUUUUUGGCUACAUUCUAUAGAUUACAGAUCCCAGCUAUACUGAGUUAUGUAUUAACAGCAAUAACAUGAACCUAGCACUUGAAAAAAUGAAAAAUAAUCUAAUAGCAUUUUGGAAGUAUACUUAAAUGAAAUUAGAAUUAUACUUAUCACUUAUGUACCUAUUACAUGAGAACAACUUGGUCUCAAGCUUUAAUGUGCCCUGCUAUUCUAACUAUAUGCUAGUUACCGAUGUGCCUUGUUGUAGGCAGAACGUAGAGCCUUUGUCUGUGUUCAGAAGAAAGGUAGCUCCUACCUCAGAACGGACAGUGAGCUUAGAUAUGAAUGCCUUUCUGAGAACCGUCUCUCUUCAGAACCAACAAUGCUGUGUUUCAUCCUUGUGCUUCACUGCCAGUUUUCAUUAGACUUGCAUAAAAAGUUAUCACCUUGAUGUCUCACUGCUGGCAGUGAAGGGCUGGCAGGCAUGCAGCUUUGCAUAAAGCUUUUCUCCAUAUUAAACUGAAAACACGUUUUCUCCCUUUCCCUAGAACUCUUCCAUUUAAAAAAUAGUUUUUUUGAUGUGCAUGUGCAGAGCAAACAAGAAGUGUUUUCUUAAAAAAAGUGCAGUUGUGUGAAUUUGAGCCAUAUGAGUUAUUUCAGUAUGGUAGCUUUUAUUUUCCCAGAAGCACACGUGGUGGGAAGGCCCUGUGGGUUAUGGAUUGUUAGCUGUUCCAUUUUGUUUUCUUGAAUAUC